AGCCCAGUCUGGCCCUCUGUCUGCAGCUUGCAGAAGUGUGGAGGGCGAGGCAGCGGGAGGCCACUCACCCCGGGACGCGCCCACCCUGGCCCGCCCCGUCCCGCCCUGCAAGGUGGUGGUUGCAAUCGGACUCCACCUGCCAGCUGUGCGUCCCCUUCUGCCCUGAGGAGUGCUCUGGAUUUCAGGCAUGGAGCAGGGGGACAGAGAGGGGAAAUCUGGACUGAAGCGAUGCAGACUGGCACGGGGGUUGGCAAGGUGCACAGGCGGCUGGGUGUCUUGAUAUUUGGGGAGCAGGACCUCCCUGCCAUGAUGGUGCCGGGGAAGACCGGACCCCGCUGGGAUGAGUACAUUUGAGCCCCAUCUCUCUUGCUUUAUUCGUUUUGAUAGCCUUAAAAGGUGCACGUGACAACCUACCUGCUUCCUACAACUCUCUUUAAAUCCUAUACUUUUAAAAAAUUUCAUUUAGUGAUUAAUUAUGAGAACCAGUUUUGUGUCAGGGGCUGUUAAUACAAGCCCAGGCCAGACUCAGGCUUUGCCCUGAUACAGCGUAGAAAGCACAUUUGGGGAAAAAUAAACAAACAAAUAGCACGCAGGUUAGAAUUUCAGGCAUGCAGGGCAGCGACACAGAGGGAGAGACCUGAGCCGAGGCCUGGAGAAGCCUGGCAGGAGGAGAGGGCUGUGGGAAGGGACUCUGCCUGCACAAGGUUUGGAGUUUUGGAAGAGCUUAGCUUCUUGUAGGAGGGAAAGGCAGGUGAAGGGGAGAGAGACCUCAAGGGGGGUCUCAAAAAAAUAUUGACUUUGGGGAAGAUACAGACUUGAGGGUUCUGGUCUGGAAAUGCCCGCCAGGCUUCCAAGUGGAGUCAAGGUGGAGGGUGUGGACCUGGGAGUCACCAGCGCACGCAAGUGAGUCUCUCUCUCUCUCUCUCUCUCUCUCUCUCUCUCUCUCUCUCUCUCUCGCUCACUCGCUAGGGGAAAUCACUAAUGGGGGCUGCUUUUGGGCCAUCAAGAUGGGAGCCUGUGGCAGGGCAGAGCGCUUUACCUCAUGGCCAGGGAGGAACUGGUCCAAGAAAGAAAUGGAGGAGGAGGCUGGAUGCGGGCUGCCCCCAGGGCAGACACUCAGGACUUUGGGCUCCUCCCGUGAAGUCCCACCUGGUAAAGCUUUCUACAGCAGGUACCAGCUCCUGGCCUGCCCACCCUCCACACGGGCCUCGGGGACCCACUGGAAAUCUGAAUGGUCGUAAUGAGGCAGAGGGAAACCAGGCGAGGGUGUCACACAAAAGCCAAGGAGAGAGGCGGUCCCACUGUGUGUUGCUGAGCAGGAAGAAGACAGGAACCACGGCUGUUUUUGUCAACAAGGAGAUCUUGGAAUUUGUGCCAGCAACUGAUAAGCGUGGCUGGGGAAUCAGCCCGUUUCUAAGCAACUGAGCCCAGCACGCGGCGGAUCCCACUGUCGGUGUGGUGACCUCACCCAGAGCAGUGAUCAUGAUAAAAAGAAAUGAAGGAGGAGGAGAAGAAGAAGAAAAGAAGAGGAAGAAGAAGAAGAAGAAGAAGAAGAAGAAGAAGAAGAAGAAGAAGAAGAAGAAGAAGAAGAAGAAGAAGAAGAAGAAAACUACAACAAAA